AACGUGCAGGGUGGAGAUGCACAACUGUCGGACCGCGUAGCUGGCAUAGCCUUGUUUCAGACGCACUCUUUCGUCCGCCUCCGACAGCUGAUUCCUCCUCCUGUUGAUUGCUUGUUCGCAGGACAAGCAGGAGACGUAGUCGCGACCCGGCCCGUUGCUGGCCGGACGUCGCUGGACACGGGAAUGGUCCGCCGUUCCUGAGUACGCGCCUGAGCACCGACCGUGAGAGUCGUGGGUGCCGAUUGCCGUUUCCGGUGGCCCCGGAAACC
rnacentral:ncRNA from 1 species